rnacentral:rRNA from 1 species
UACGUAGGGCGCAAGCGUUGUCCGGAAUUAUUGGGCGUAAAGAGCUCGUAGGCGGUCUGUUACGUCCGCUGUGAAAACCCAGGGCUUAACCCUGGGCUUGCAGUGGAUACGGGUAGACUAGAGGCAGGUAGGGGAGAAUGGAAUUCCCGGUGUAGCGGUGAAAUGCGCAGAUAUCAGGAAGAACACCCGUGGCGAAGGCGGUUCUCUGGGACGGUACUGACGCUGAGACGCGAAAGCGUGGGGAGCGAACAGG